rnacentral:rRNA from 1 species
UAGGUGUUGGCUGGUCUGUAGAGACCAGUCAGUGCCGAACCGAAAGGAUUAAACGGGCCACCUGGGGAGUACGGGCGCAAGCCUGAAACUUAAAGGAAUUGGCGGGGGAGUACAUAAGGGGUGGAGUGUGCGGUUUAAUUGGACCCAACGCCGGGAACCUUACCGGGGGAGACAGCUGGAUGAAGGUCAGCCUGAAGGGCUUACCAGACUAGCUGAGAGGAGUUGCAUGGCCGUCGUCAGCUCGUGUCGUGAGAUGUCCGGUUAAGUCCGGCAACGAGCGAGACCCACGCCCUAUGUUGCUACCCGUAGAGGGGGCACUCAUAGGGGACUGCCCACGUAAGUGGGAGGAAGGAGUGGGCGACGGCAGGUCAGUAUGGCCCGAAUCCCCCGGGCUACACGCGCGCGACAAUGGUUGGGACAGAGGGUUGCGACCUCGAAAGAGGGAGCCAAUCCCUAAACCCAACCCUAGUUCAGAUCGAGGUUUGAAACUCAACCUCGUGACGCCGGAAUCCCUAGUAAGCGAACGUCACCACCGUUCGCUGAAUAUAUCCCUGCUCCUUGCACACACUGCCCGUCAAGCCAUCCGAGUAGAGCUUCAAGGGAGAACUCUCGCCAAGCGGGAGUUCGACCUUAAGCUUUGCGAGGAGGGCUAAGUCGUAACAAGGUAGCCGUACGGGAACGUGCGGCUGGAUCACCUCCA